AAGCAUUAUGCUAAAGUGAAAGGAGCUAGACACAGAAGGCCACAUCUUGCAAGAUUCUAUUUAUACAAAUGCCCCAAACAAGUACAUCUACAGAGAUAGAAGGUAGAUUACUGGUUGCCUGGGGCUGAGGGGAGUGGGCAAUGAGGAGUAACUGCUAAUAGGUACAGCAUUUCCUUUUAGGGUGGUGAAAAUGUUUUAGAAUUACAUAGUGGUGAUGGUUGUACAACAUUGUGGAUAUAUCAACAACCACUGAAUUGUUCAUCUUAGUAGGGUGGAUUUUAUGAUAUGGGAAUUAUGUCUUAAUUUAAAAAAUAAACCUGUGCAAGAUAGACAUACAUAAAAUUCAAACAUUACAGACAUACAUAGAAAUGAAACUUUCCCUACACUCCUCUCCAACGGUGCUCCCAGUUUUUUCUUAUUCUCUAUGCUGAUUUUAUUUAUAUGGUGUGUAUAUUUAGGAAACAAACUAGGACCUUGUGCAUACUGCUUUGUGAUUUUCACUUAUGUGACUUGUUCAUUUUUUUUUACUGGAAGAGAAAAAUUCCCAACCUGACUUCUUAAGGAAUAUAGCAAAUCCAGAAGUCAUAAAGAAAAAGACUUAUACCUUGACUACAUAAAACUAAUAUUUUUUUAUAUGGGAAAAGGUACAAUAAAUAAAGAAGCAGACUAAGGGAAUAUCUAAGCAACAUUUAUGAGAAAGGGUUAAUAUUCCUAAUAUUAGGGAUUAAGAUUCCUACAUGUUGAUUUAAAGUUAAACAAUACAAAAGAAAAAUAGGCAAAGAGGUAAACCAGCAAUUCACAGGAAAGGAAAUAUAAAUGUUCAAUACACAUAAAACAAGAUGUCAGCCUCAUUAGUAGUCACCAUUUUUUUGCCCAUCAAAUUGGCAAAAAUUAAAAAGACUGGUGACAACUAGUAUGGGCAAGAAUAGGGGAAAUUGGACACUCUAAGUUGCUGAUGAAUAUGUGAAUUGCUACAACAUUUUGGGUAGGUCAUUAGGUAGUAUUUAAUAAAUGGGCACAACCUUUAGCCCAUCUUUGAAACUAACCCACAAAAAUAAAUGCACCACUACUAACAGUAGGGUCACAAAAUGUUUAUUGCAGCAAUGUUUAUCAGAGGGAAAAACUGAAAACAACUGAAAUGUCUGGUGAUAAGUGACAGCUGAAUGAACUACGAUUUACGAGAACGAGAGAUAUUGGAGAAACAUGUCUUGGCCCUGUGUGAUCGACCUACAGCCACGUGCAUGGUAGACAGCUACGUGAAAAAAGGAAGCUGCUAACUCUACAACAUAAUGCCAUUAAAAUAAAACCCAAACCCAUAGAGAGGUGAAUAUAUAUUUGUAUAUUGUUGUAGGCAAAGAGAAAGCCUGUUAAAUUUGGUAUGUUUGGGGCUGGGUAUGCUGUGUUCUAGAAUUUAAAAAAGAAUGUCAUUUUAAAAAGCUGAUUAUUGAUAAAGGAUAAUACUGCGCUAAUUUGAUCUUUCUCGAAGCCAGGGAACAGUUAAAAAGGAUGGGAGAAGCCAACGACUGUGAGAUGGAAGGGCUGCUUAACACGGUAUAACUACAACAUCUUACAGAAUACAAGGUAUGUUAACACUUCACUUUUGGUCUAACGUUUUGGCUCCCUACGGGGUGGAGGAAGACAGAUUGGGAAAACACACGCGAAGUAUUACACUGGCGUCUGGCAAGGGGUGGAAACUCCUGUCUUGAUUUCUGACUCUGGUGUCUCCGUGGGGUUCACUUGAAAGAGAAGGCACCUGGAUCCCAUAUGAAAGCAGGGCAGGGCAGAAUUAGCCCAAUAGAUGCUGGCUUCUUCUGGAUCAGUUCAGGAAAACAAGUUUUGACUUGUGGAGAAGGAUCUGCCUUGAGCACUAUUACUGGGGAUAAUACUUCAACCAGGGUCAAAGUAACUCCCUAAAGCAGGUUAUCAACUCCUCGAGCAGCAGUCAUGGCAAGUCCCUGAGACAGUUCUUGGAAACCUAACCUCCUCUACUCUAGGAAAACUAAGAUGUCAAAUUGGGAAAAACCUUAACUUUACUGUAACUGUCCUGUCCAAACUGUACCACUGAGAGGGGCUAUGUUUUCCAAAAUGGCAUAGAGCUUUGGUAAAUGUCUCUUCUUUCACUGUUCAGGAAUGCAGAAGAUGGAUUUUUCUUUCUUUUUUUUUUUUUGAGACAGAGUCUCGCUCUGUCACCCAGGCAGGAGUGCAGCGGCGCGAUCUCGGCUCACUGCAAGCUCCGCCUCCCGGGCUCACGCCAUUCUCCUGCCUCAGCCUCCUGAGUAGCUGGGACUACAGGCGCCCACCACGACGCCCAGCUAAUUUUUUUUUUUGUAUUUUUUAGUAGAGACGGGGUUUCACCGUGUUAGCCAGGAUGGUCUCGAUCUCCCGACCUUGUGAUUCGCCCGCCUCGGCCUCCCAAAGUGCUGGCAUUACAGGUGUGAGCCACCGCGCCCAGCCAUGGAUUCCUUUUUUAAAGGUAAAAAUAAGAGUAUUUUUAAAAGUAGCGGUAUUUCUCAAGGGGGGAAGGCUAGUCCUGUUCAUGACUAUUUUACAGGUUGAAUGAGUCCUCCUUUUAAUUGAGUUAAUAUUUUUAGUUCUAAAGUAAACAACUGACAUGGUCCCAACAUACACACAAAAAAUGUGUUCUUGCUGUGGCCCCAAGACUUUAAGCUCUCUUUUGGGAUAUUGGCGGCGAGGGUGGGGGGACACAAAAGAAGAUGUAUCUGAAACUGACAGUUCUUUGAACAUAUGCAAAUGUCAUAAAAACACCACCCUCCCUUGAGCUUAAUGGCCAGCCUUUUAUUUUUUUUUGAGACAGGGUCUCACUUUGUCACCGAGGCUGGAGUGCAGUGCCACCAUCUCAGCUCACUGCAACCUCCUUCUCCUGGGCUCAAGUGAUCCUCCCACCUCAGUCCCACAGGUAGCUGGGACUACUGGCACGAGCCACCACGCCUGGCUAUUUUUUUAUAUUUUUGGUAGAGAUGGGGUUUCACCAUGUUGCCCAGGCUGGUCUUGAAAUCCUGAGCUCAAGUGAUCCACCCACCUCGGCCUCCCAAAAUGCUAGGAUUACAGGCCUGAGCCACCAUGCCCGGCCCCAGGCUCCUCUUAAAGGAGAGACAAAAAACAAAGACUGCAGGCCUUUGUGCUCUUCUCCCUCCACCAGUCCUUGGUAGGAAGCCAUGAUGCGGAUGAGGUGGACGCAGUGACUUGCCUUCCACAUCAGGCACGCUCAUUCACGGUUUCAGAACAAAAGGAAAACCUCACAAAAGAGGUCAGAGGGAAAGAAUGAGUGAGGAGAGAGAAAACACAGCCUUUCACUAUUUUCGGGAAAGCUCAAUCUUCCCAAUGUCAGGGACACAGAUGUGAGCCUGGCUUGGGGCACUGGGCACAACCCACCACCCCAAACCUAAGGGGAGGUGGUAUAUUCGCAUGGGAAUAGCUCCCAUUCAUAUUUCCUUUCUAAUUUAUUUUAAAUUAAAUCCUUGCAGUGUUUCUCUUUCUCCAUGUCUGCUAGGCAGUUAAGAGAGGGGCAGAAACCAGGCUAGCAAGCAAAGAAAGUGACCACAGGGCAUUUUUGCAGUUGGCACAGGGGCCUUUGGCAUCUAUUUUCAAAACACGCCCAAACUAAAACCUCAUGUGCUUCUCGCCAAUCUUGCAGAGGCUGAAUAAACUGCACGUGGCUCUGUGAAAAGCCACCUCAUCCCGUAUGGCAUUUCUGCUUUCUGGCUGGGUUAACAUCUCUGCCUUACAGAGGCUGGUAACAUCCAGAGAGCACAGAUGGGUACCAAGGUUGCCGGCCUCAGGAGGACCAUGUUUCAUUUCUUCCUGUGUUUUUGGGAUACACAGCUCUGAGAAGGGACUUGUCACUGGGUUUGUUCAAUCCCGCUCCUGAGGGGGGUCUGAGACACAGGUAGCAGUCUCAAGCUGGUACCUUGUCAAUCAGCAAGACAGUGCAGUGAACGCCAGGUCACGACACAGACUCUCUCAGGUCUUUCUAGGGAAUGUUCAUGUUAUUGGGGAGGUGGGUCCUCUGCAGGGGCCUCUUCUUUCCUCUCCUUAGUCUUGUGAGUCUUGCUCACGAUGUGGCUGCUGUUGCCCCUGUUCCCCUCUUCCAGCAAUGGUAAGACACACAUGGAGCCUCUGGACAUUUUUCCUAGCAAGUACAUUGCUUUCAGGGUGGAUGAAACUGCUACUCUACCCCACUACUUCUCAAAAUGUCUUCCUAGCAUUUGAGGGAGCUUGGGAAAUGAUCCAUUAUACAUUAUGUGUGGCUGACUAGGGUGCUUCUGUGAUGACCCCAGGACCGGGAUAAACGGUGAGGCUUCCAUCACCUUCACUGUGAUGGACAUGGGAUGGCCCUGGGGUCUUCUGUUGACAAGGAAAAUCUAAAAGGUGCUGGGAGAGUGUUGAUCUAUUUGGUUUCAAUCAAUCAAUCUGGAAAGAGAUUCUAUAUCUUCCUUUACGCUGAACGGGUGAAGGGCAAGGAUGAGGGUGAUGAACAUGGCAUCCUUUCAAAGCAGGUGUAGGAGGGGGAGAGAGGGAGGAGAAAGAGGGGGGUCUGGAGUGCCUCAGUGUACUUCAUGCAUUAGACUUCAGUAUAUUUUUACUCAGCAGCUUGCCUCUGCUUGUCGAGUAUUGAGAUCCAGAUCAAAUAUCAAGUGCUUUUCUAGGACAGAAGUGGUUAAUGUGGAAUCACCUUCAGCAUCCUGCCUCUGUGGAUGGGGAAGGCAGUCUCUCUACUGUCAUCUUUAAUCUUAGCACAGUUCUCGCAGUCCUCGUGUGGGCGCUGGCACGCAGCAUCCUUCCGGCACACAAACAGGCCAUCCUCACUGUUCAGGAGCUGGGUCUGCAGGAAGCUGAAGCAGGAGUCCUCCAGGUUGUGCAUGCGCAGGAACUCAGCACAGCGGAUGACCUCGCGGAUGUUUUCUCUGCUGAGUAACAGCUUGGCAGUGUAGGCAAACUGUAACAGCGGCCCAAAGCCCCUGGCUGUGACCUGCAAAACAAACAGGGAAAUCGCCAACAUUACCAUCAGCACUGCUAUUGUCCCGAAUCCCUCAACUGAAGCAAGAUAACCAGACAGUGCUAAUGUCCCAGAAUAAAGACUGCAAAGGGGCAGUUAAUCUUGUAGUACUGGGUCAGCAAUGAUUCUGCUUCCAAUAAUUAGUGCCUGUCUCGUGCAUGCCACUGUUGUACUCCAUCACAGCACAGGCAGAAUUGAAAAUCACCAGGGUCAAGUGGCUAAACAAGAUGACAACGGGUUCAGUGUUUACACUAAUGAAAUAUCCUGGCAAAAAUGCACGGUGACAAUGGGGAGCCUAUUAAUUUCCCUCCCAAUCAGUCCUGUUGAGAGCCAUUCUACACGAGGGGGGAGUGUUGUGACACUUCUUGCAGCUUGCUGGAGCCCAAGAGAGCCUUAACGUUUUCUUGUCAACCACAAAAAUGGCAAUGUGACCCUGCAAAAAACUAACUCCAGGGAGUUGUAAAAAUAGGUUUUCCUCACUUACAAUGUUAAAAGAGACAUUAAAACAACUCCUGUUUUGCUCAUCCAUCACAGUUUCUACUUGAGACUUUCGGUCAUCAUGUCUACCUGAUCUUAUGAUGAUGAUGAUCUCAUUAUCUCACCAGAGAUGACAACAAUCAAAAGUGGUGUGCUCAAGAUGAAAUCAACCCCUGGCCCAUAAUGAAUGGGGGUUGCAGAGUUAAACAAACCGGCUCUCAUUUAAAUGGUUGAAGCUGCUGAGUGGCACAGGGUAUGGGCUAUUCCUUCCCUAAUUAUUAGCAGCAGCUUUGCCAUGCAGCUGUCUUUUUUUCCUGGUAAAUCUUCAGGGGCUAAGCCUACUGUCAUUUGCUGCUUAUCUGUUAUAUUUUACAAAGAUUGAAAGUGUGCUAUUUAUGCACAGCUUGCAUAUGCACACAAACACGUGUGUGCCCACACGCAUGCCUGCUCACACACAAUGACUUAGACAAUUAAGAAUAUGUUGCCUAAGGCCAAUUGUUUUUUCAGAUGGAAAUGGAUUAAACUUGCUGGUGUUCAUCAGGGUAAGCUUCCUUACCCUGCACAUAAAACCACACAUCCUCUAGGUUCUUGCAAGCACUGCUGACCACACAGGAAGGUGACGCAUGUCUACAAAUCCUGUACAAAUCAAAUGAAAGCAGCAAUCAUGGGGUCCUUGCUAGAGGCUAUGGUAGCAGUGAUACAAAAUUUUAGCGGGGGGAGUGAGUGCACAGCAAGGUGAACUGGUAAACUUUGUAGCUGACUUCUGUGUGUAUUAAACUCACCGCAGCAUACAGAGCCAAAAUUCUUGCAAGGACCUGUAAUUGAUGUUCAAGAUUCAACCUGGACAUUCACUCCUUUGGGAGUGCUCUCCAGUCCUCUUAGAGAGAAUGAAUGACAUUGUCCUCUCAGCUCUCAUAGCCAGAUGAGGAGACGUGCUGGAUUCUCCAGGGCAGCACUGAUUUCAUAUCAUUGCAUUCUUUCCAGUAACGGAAAUUUCUUAGACAUGUAACUGAACGGGAUUUUAAUUGUUAAUCUUUUUAAAGUACUCAAGUAAGAUUCCACAUUAAAUUUUUCUGUCAGAUGAUGAGUCCAGAGAUAUUUGGUUAAAAAAACAAAACAAAAAGCCAUGACUGCUAGACCCACAUUAUAAAUUCUAUAUGGGCAAUCAGUGCCAUCUCCCUUUUAUUAUACCUAAUUGUGCCUGUUUCUACCAUAAGACAGCAAGCUCCUUCAGAUCAGGAAUGGUUUUGUCUGUCUUUGUAACCUUGCAUCUAAUCUAACCUGGGGUCUCUCACAUGGUAAAUACUUGUUAAAAGCUUGUAUGUUACCAAAUAUGUCAUGAGUCAAACUGUGUCCUAACAUACUACUACUGUGUAUGCAAGGUGACAACACAGUAUGUUUAGAGAGUGUUGUCUCAAGUUACUUUUGGAGCAAGGCAUCAUGUAAAC
rnacentral:lncRNA from 10 species